CCUACGGGCGGCAGCAGUGAGGAAUAUUGGUCAAUGGGCUUACGCCUGAACCAGCCAUGUCGCGUGAGGGAAGACUGCCCUAUGGGUUGUAAACCUCUUUUGUCAGGGAGCAAUUGGCGCUACGUGUAGCGUUAUCGAGAGUACCUGAAGAAAAAGGAUCGGCUAACUCCGUGCGAGCAGCCGCGGUAGUACGGAGGAUGCGAGCGUGAUCGGGAUUUAUUGGGUUAACAGGGUGCGUAGGCGGAAUGCCAAGUCAGCGGUAAAAUCGCGGGGCUAAACCUCGCUGCGCCGUUGAGACUGGCGUUCUAGAGUGGGCGAGGAGUAUGCGGAAUGCGUGGUGUAGCGGUGAAAUGCAUAGAGAUCACGCAGAACUCCGAGUGCGAAGGCAGCAUCUCGGCG
rnacentral:rRNA from 1 species